rnacentral:lncRNA from 1 species
UAGACAAGUUUGUUUCUCUUGUCCCACUGAAAAACAUAAUGUUAAAGUUAGACAUGAACAUGACAUUAUCCCAAAAAUCUGAUUCCCAACACAAACACAAAUAGAUAUCAAUGAUAUGAGAUACAUCUAUGAUAUGAGAUAUCAAAUAGUAGUUCAAAUUUCUAAAGAGUAAAGAAGGGUAACACAAAUUUUGCUCACUUUUAGUCUAACAUAUCAAUGAUAUGAGAUACAUCUAGCAAAUGCAAUGAUAUUAACAUACCAAUGAAUGCAAACUCUAUCAAAUAAUCCAUAUAUACAAUCUGCUCAUCCAUAAAAGAAAACCAUGUGUAUAUUGAAAAGUCUGAAAUCAUAUCCAAGGUUCAAGACACAAGAAUAGCCAAAUAAUGCCAUGAUAUACUUCUACUAGUGGAGGAAACCUAUUUACAGAUAAUCAGUAAACCAAACCUUCAAUUAAUUGGGGAAAUGGAUGAUUUUACGAGAUCUUUUUUAGUUGAUCAGAUAACACAAAAAAAGAAGGAAAAUAAGUAGUUAAAUAAUCGGAAAACAGGCAAGUGAAGUGAAGAUCAAGUCACUCUCAUCAACUCAAACAAGCAAAUAAAGUAUCAACAUUUCAACAAAACAUGGAUGCAAACAAUAAAAUGAUAGUAAUUUCAAAUACUAGUUGUUUGUGAGUGAAAGAAGAGUGAAAAAAAACCUCUCGAAGUCAUCGAAAAUGACGGUGUCAGGAACUAUCUCACUAAAGAACAAUCUAAUACAGUUUGACAGACUGUAGUACAGAAACAAGAAAUAAGUCUGUUUUCCUUAAGUGGACUGAAAGUGGUAAAACCAAAUGUUAAAACAUAACUAUAUCCACAUAGAAUACAAAGGAAAGAAUAAAGAUAAGCACUUAAGAACUAGAACACAACUGCAUCCCAAUAAUAAAGAAGGCCUGAAGAGAGUAAUCUUUAAACUCUUGAAAAGACCGAUGCCAAGAGAGAUGCCCAAAAAUGAACCCUUUCCCACAUCCUCACAAGUUUCCUCAAAAAUUUAUUUGUGCCUAUCCCUCCAAAUCAUCUAAAGGGUAGCCAGCAAAGCACAUCUACCCAAUACUAGACAACUUUUCAUUCCUCCGAACAAUUUGCAAAAGAUAAAAUGUAAAUAAGUGCACUCACAGCAGUGAAGUUGAAUGGCUCCAUUGGAUUCCAACAAAUAGAAUUGGUAUUUGUCUGUCAAAAGAAAAUACAAUUAGUUAGAAGCGCAAAGCUCCCCUUCAAGAAACAAGGUUUACUAAUUUGUUAUUUGACCUUUUUUAAGACUCUGAACACGAAUACCUGCACAAAUUAUUAAAAGAAGGUUUAAUUGAGAAUUUGAGAUAGAUAAGCCAAGAAAUUUGCAUCUUAUGAGCCGGAUAUAACUAUAUCCAAUUUACAAACCAAUGGAAAUACAUAUAUAUUUACUACUUGUAUCACUAGAAGGCCUUACUAAAGAGAAAUUUGGAAGUAGAAUAUGCCUAAGCUAAAAUAUUGGUAUGGAAUAUAGGCCUUACCAUACCAAUAUAUUAUCGAGGAAACCUAUAUUCUACCAAGGUCAUUAAACUUGCAAGUCAGAUAGCUCAUGAAAUAAACAAAAUCAGUAACACAAUAGAAACCUAAUUGGCUCACCAAAUACCUAUGUGUUAUCCUUUGUUUUCAUCUUAGCUGCCAGCUUCUAUUUUGGACAGGGGAGAUGCACAUUAUAGGGUUAAUCAAGCCAUACACAUUAUAGUUUAAGCAAUCAAAUACAUAGAACUCCAAUUAAGACUCAGCUAGGAUGCUAAACAGAAGAUACAAUAACAAACCAAAACAGUUCCACAUAAUUACACAACAACACAAUCUAACUUUCUGAACCAGUCACCUUAACUUCAAAAACUGUACAAAACUGUUUAGAAUUGGACUUCGAGUUCUUCUAAAGAUUUACAGUAGACACAGUAAAGAAACACUGAGAGUUGGAAUCACCUUAAAACGAUUUUUCUUGAAUUAGUUAUGGAUUUUCAAAGUUCAGUACAGCUUCAGGUUUUUCUGAAAUUUCUUGCUAAGUGCCUAUUUCAAGUAAUUGAAAGCAAAACAUACAAACUAUAUGGUACAAAGCUUCUAGCAACUAAAUAUAAAGACUCCAAUGUUUUAACAUACAGAAAGCACAUGAAACAUUCAAUGAAAAAGGCUGACAUUAAAUGACACAAAGACAACUAGAAAGAAGCAACAUGUAAGUCAUAAAUUUCUCAUCUUUCAACUAACUUUAAGCAACCCAAAUCUUUGAUCUCUAAUUUCAAUUUGAAAAACAAAUAACAUGUAUAAGAACCUUAUAAUCUAAUCUAUACAUCUGUAUAACAUCAUAUCAAAUCGAGCAAGAAUCAAAGACAAACACUAAGACUAAAAACAAAGGACUGAAAUAAGAAAAUGCCUUACUAAGUAUCUGACCAUAAAUAUAUUUGACCAAAAACAGUACAGUUCGGCUGGGAAUACAAGGUUGGCGUCUUCAUAACAAUUGUAGUACACAUCCUAAAGAUCAAUCAAGAAUUGGAAUCGCAACAAAAAGACUUUUUUACAAUUAUUUAUGAUUUUUCAAAGUUACUGAUAUGAAUCAGCAAAAUAACAGAUUUUGACUCAAAAUCAUGUUUCUCCUUUUCAAAGAUAGUUCCCAGUAACAACAAAAAAAUCCUAAUCACUUCAUACUAAUAUAAUCCUCCAUGUCAGAUACAUGAACAGAAAUCACAAACAUGAUAUUCUAAAUUCAAUACAUCUAUGAUUGCAUAACAACAAAGAUACAAAGAAACAAAAAAUGCAACUGAAAACAACAAAAUUCUGAUAUCACAAGAUAACUUCUUGACUUUCUGUCUGGUAAACUUUCAGGCUAAAAAUGACACAGUUUGGCUGGGAAUUUAAAGAUGGUGUCUUCACAACAUUUGAAAUAGACAUCCCAAAGAACAAUUUGGAACUGGAAUCACACAAAAAGGAUUUUUCUACAAUUACUUAUGGAAUUUCGAAUUUCAGAUACAGCUCUAGUUUUGUUUUAAAAAAAAUUGCUGAUAUAAGUCUAUCUCAAAUUUUAAGGCAAGUUUCCAAGACCUGGGAUCCUAACAACAACAACCACUGCAUAACUUGAUUUUCUACAAUAGAGAACUGAUUUGGCUAACCAAGGAGUUCAAUAAUCAUGCUUACCACACACUAGAAUUAACUAUCAGGUGAGCCUGUUCAUGAAUUCAUAUUUGUUUGGGUGUGUGNNNNNNNNNNNNNNNNNNNNGAGAGAGAGAGAGAAGGGUACCAUGGUAUCAGCCUCACCUUCUCCAUUUUCAACUCUUCAAUUUGGGGCUCUGGUUUGCACUGCAACUUCCUAUUCCUCUGUCUUCGACCACAAUUUUGAUUUUCAUCUGCAACAAAGGAAGCAAUAGCAUCAGAAAUCAAAAUCCCAAAAUUUAGAAAAUCAAAAUGUUAGGGCAAAGAGGAGACCAUGACGAGAAGAUUACUAGAUUCUCUGACGAUGAUGAUGAAAAACACAUACGAUUCCAUAUCAAGAUUGUUGCGACGACAUCAGCGACAUCAUCAUGUCCAGGAAAGAAUCGAUCUGAAAUCAAAAUUGGGUUUUUGAAAUUAGGGGAGAUUGCUGAGAAUGUUAUGGUUAGGGGCUGAGUGAGAGAGAAGUGAUUGAGGGCUCACGCGGGUGUUAGGGAGAGAUAGCUGAGGGCUCGAGAGUUUGCUGAGAGAGAGAGGCUGGGUGUUUAGAGAGAGAGCUAUGUGUUUUUGGGAUGGAGAGAGCUCAGAGGCGCGAGGGAAUGAACAAGAAUGUUAUAUGUGGCUUGAAUGGUUGAGAGAGUGUGAUGUCG